UUUUCUGUGGCUAAAUAAUCACCUUUUGUAAGCUUCAAGUGCUUCCAGUUUCUUUGCCAGGCCCUCAGCAUCAGCUUUUACUUGCUGCAAUAUAAGUUCGGACCAGACAAUGGGGGCACUGCGGUCAUGCCAACAGAAGCAGCCAAUCCAAUACCUAUGCAAUUCCUUCUAGGUCACAAUUCACAUUAAAAGUUUUACAAAACACUUUCAGCAUAUUUUUAAGUUUUGAAAUACAUAUUCCACUGUUGCAUUCUUGUUUAUUCAA